rnacentral:sRNA from 1 species
CGUGGCCCUGCAGAACCUCCGGGUGGUCAUGAAUAGCGCACAGGCUUCCAUCAAGUGAGUGCCUGGGAGGCACCGGGAAGCCUGGCGGGGAAAGGGGCAACUGGUUUCCGGAGCUGAGACACUGAAUCUUGUUGCCGAAAUCCUUAAAUCUAUAGACAGAAUUUCUGAAAUUAAAGACGAGGAGGAAGACUCUUGAGGACCCCUGGGUGUUCUCAGCAUGAAGCUCCGUGUAUACCCUGAGGUCACCACCGCUCGAUCUAAAUGUGCAGUUGUGUCCUUAAAUGUGCAGUCUUCACCCAGAGUAAAGUGUUGAUCGCAAGAGUCCAGUGUCGUGCCCUCA